rnacentral:rRNA from 1 species
UACGUAGGGUGCAAGCGUUAAUCGGAAUUACUGGGCGUAAAGCGUGCGCAGGCGGUUUUGUAAGUCUGUCGUGAAAUCCCCGGGCUCAACCUGGGAAUUGCGAUGGAGACUGCAAGGCUAGAAUCUGGCAGAGGGGGGUAGAAUUCCACGUGUAGCAGUGAAAUGCGUAGAGAUGUGGAGGAACACCGAUGGCGAAGGCAGCCCCCUGGGUCAAGAUUGACGCUCAUGCACGAAAGGCGUGGGGAGCAAA